CCAUUCCAACACUCUUCUGAAACUUAGUGUAAAAUUAGUGUAUUGUAGAAGUAUCUUUUUGCAAGAAAAACACAAAAUGUACAUACAAUACAAAAAUGGUAAGAUCAAGUAUUUUUCUUUAUAUGAAAAGUCAUUUAAAAAUAAGCAUUCAAGCCAAAACUAGAGACAGUGAAAUCUGCAACCCUGUUUCCCAUACUGUUUUUAUCUCUAUAUAUUUAAUGCUCAUGAUUUUAUAAUACUCAUCAAACCUAUAAAACUAAAUGCUAUAUGAGCAGUUUUAUUUUAAAUUUAUUUGAGGUGGACAAACAUUUUCUGAAGGUUAAACAUUCUUUAGUCUGUUACAAAAUGAAGACUUUUCAGUUUCAACCCUUUUUUUUUUGCACAUCUUUGUGGAAAGUGCUUCUCUCUCUUUAAGUAUUACCUGAGUGAAAUAAACCUCCAUCACAACCUCAACUGAGCAAUCAACCCACCAGAAAACAAUGCUCAUUAAAGCAGUAUAUACUGCAUUUCUUGCUAUUUUUUAUUGUGCUUUUGUUGGUCAGAAAACAAGAUGGACAACCCUAUAGAACAUACUGCAGUCAUGUAAAUGAUGUGUUUUAUUUCAUGUUUCGUCCUGCCAUUGGUUGAGUAAAAUGACAAAGAAAUCAACUGCAAUUUUCAUUCUGGUUAAAUAUGCAGAACCCCUGAUUUCUGCUACAUUGGGAGAGAAUAAAGGGCAAAGGUCAGGGAGAGUGUCCACCGAAUGUGCAAGUCAGUCACUAAUAGAAUUGACUGGAAUUCAAGCCAAACAGAACAGCUUCUUAAAUCCAGACAUGAAUGUGCCCAGGAAACUCAAUAAACUGGGACACGUAUGGAAAUCAUUGAAAAACAUAAAAAUGUAUAUAAACUCAUAAACAAAGAAAGCAAAAGAAAACAGUAGAUGUGUGUAGUCUCAAAAUGUCCAGGAGGUGGCACCAUAGUGCUGGUUCAAACAGCAUUUAGUUCCAACAAACCUCAAAGAAAAGCUAAAAACAAUAAUCACUUUUUGGCACAUUUGUUCAUUUUUCUUCAUGUCCUUUCAUCUCCUGCUAGAACAACUAUAAUGGAAUAAAAUCAAUAUCAUGAAAGAUGAAAGUGAUGUGUGUACAGAAUGAAAAUCUCAGCUCGCGAGUUAUCAGAAGUUGAGAGGAGGAAAACUGUGGUACAUAUGGCUCAGAAAUGCAGUUCCAAGUCUCCAGAGUGGGACGACAUUCACAAAAACAUACACACACUUGCCUUUGUUCUUCUGGAUGAGCUGAAGGUAGGAACAUGACUUUGAGUGGGAUGAAAAAUUAAAAAUGUCAAAAUUGAGCGAUUCUGUAAGAUUUAAGUAAAAAACAAAGUGGAUUUAACAAGUCUACCAUGGAAUGAAGAAGGCCCCUCAACACCUUCAUUCAAGCCCUUGUACAGUCAGACAGACUGAAGAUUUAACGCAGAGCGGCUGCUUUAGGAUGGGAGGUCAGGAUCUCUGUUAAUGAGCUAAAUUGUAACUAGUCUUCAUCUAGGAUGGGAGAAUAAAUUUUAAUCAGAGUAACCACCAUAUUUCCAGAACAGAAAUGAGGUUAUAAAAGUACAAGGUCAUAGGUCACAUCUGAUUUUCAAAACCUUUAUUUUAUGUUGGAAAUUUGUAUAUUUUAAAUGUUAAUCAGAGGGGGAAAAAUAUAAAGGUACAGUCACUAUCAACACCAUAUCAGUUAUCCGAUUUUUCAAUUUAUUAGUACAGUAUCAUUCAAUAUCAAUAGUCAGUAAAACUCUUUAAUUAGUUUGAAGUCUUUUAUGGUCACUAAAGCUGCAUUUUUAGGAUCAAAACAUAGUAAAAACGUGAUGUUAAUUUUAUUACAAUUUAAAAUAAAAAUUUUCUAUUUGAAUACAUUUAAAAAUGCUAUUUUUUUUGUAAAAUUAUAAAUGUAUUUACUGUCACUUUUGAUCAAAUGCAUUUAUGCUAAAUAAAA
ensembl:lncRNA